CAGCAGCCACGGUAAUACGUAGGCGGCAAGCGUUGUCCGGAAUUAUUGGGCGUAAAGGGCUCGCAGGCGGUUUCUUAAGUCUGAUGUGAAAGCCCCCGGCUCAACCGGGGAGGGUCAUUGGAAACUGGGAAACUUGAGUGCAGAAGAGGAGAGUGGAAUUCCACGUGUAGCGGUGAAAUGCGUAGAGAUGUGGAGGAACACCAGUGGCGAAGGCGACUCUCUGGUCUGUAACUGACGCUGAGGAGCGAAAGCGUGGGGAGCGAACAGGAUUAGAUACCCGCGUAGUCCCUGUCUCUUAUAA
rnacentral:rRNA from 1 species